GGGAGUAGGAGGACCGCUGACAGAGUUCGACUCUGAGGAAAGUCCCCUCUCCACAGUGCAGGCGGCUACCAGAAGGAAGCAGACAGAAAUGGCUGGGUAAAGUUGCAGAAACGGACGAUGCGGGGUGUGUACAAUGACGUUGAAAGACCGAGGUUGCCCCGUUGUCGAUGAGACGAACCACCUCGCCGGAGCAAGUCCAAACCGUCCCGUUAACUCGGCACGACGAGGGACAGGUAGGACGCACAGUUGAAUGCGGUCACCGAAAGGGAACAGAAAGGGGCUUACUCCCUACUCCC
rnacentral:RNase_P_RNA from 1 species